AUACAGGUCUCUUUCGAGGCCCUGUAACUGGAAUGAGCGUAUCCUAAACCCAUGGGCGAGGACCCAUUAGAGGGCAAGUCUGGUGCCAGCAGCCGCGGUAAUUCCAGCUCCAAUAGCGUAUAUCAAAGUUGCAGCAGUUAGAAAGCUCGUAGUUGGAUUUUGGGAGUGGGAUGGCGGUCCGCUGCCCUUAGCUGGGUGUCCGGUACCUCGGGGCCCAGAGCGUUUACUUUGAAAAAAUUUGAGUGUUCAAAGCAGGCCGGCCAGCCGCCGCUGAAUACCGCAGCUAGGAAUAAUGGAAUAGGACUCCGGUUCUAUUUUCUGGAACCCGGGGCCAUGAUUGAGAGGGACGGCCGGGGGCAUUCGUAUUGCGCCGCUAGAGGUGAAAUUCUUGGACCGGCGCAAGACGGACGAAAGCGAAAGCAUUUGCCAAGAAUGUUUUCAUUAAUCAAGAACGAAAGUCGGAGGUUCGAAGACGAUCAGAUACCGUCGUAGUUCCGACCGUAAACGAUGCCGACCCGCGAUCCGGCGGCGUUAUUCCCAUGACCCGCCGGGCAGCGUGCGGGAAACCACGAGUCUUUGGGUUCCGGGGGGAGUAUGGUUGCAAAGCUGAAACUUAAAGGAAUUGACGGAAGGGCACCACCAGGAGUGGAGCCUGCGGCUUAAUUUGACUCAACACGGGAAACCUCACCCGGCCCGGACACGGAAAGGAUUGACAGAUUGAUAGCUCUUUCUCGAUUCUGUGGGUGGUGGUGCAUGGCCGUUCUUAGUUGGUGGAGCGAUUUGUCUGGUUCAUUCCGAUAACGAACGAGACUCCGGCAUGCUGAGUUAUCAAAAAAAGCUACCAUCAAACAGGCACUCCAAGCACAUGUGCAAUAAAAUAAUUGUCAAAUUUGAAUAGUAUGACCACAUGUGUGUAUUUAUUUUCAUUUUUAUACUCUAAAGUGUCAAAGUACUCAGUGAGAUGCAGAAAACCAACAACUUUUAUCCAUUUAUCCAAUAUUUCUACUUCUGAAGAAGACAAAUGUAUGUUAAAUUUGGGUUAUCUGUCAAGUUGAAUUUUGAUUAUUUCAACAGUGAUGGUGUGUUGACGUUUUGACAAUUUAACCUAAAUUUUCCUGAGCUUUCCAU
rnacentral:rRNA from 1 species